CUCUUUUAGCUUAGAGCCAUUCCUUCUUGUCUUGUCACUAUAAGACCAUGUAAACAGUUGGUCCCCAAGCUUCCCCGAGCUGAACAAGCCCAGCUCCCUCAGCCUGUCUUCACAGCAGAGGUGCUGCAGCCCUCUGAGCAUCCUCGUGCCCUCCUCUGGACCCGCUCCAGCAGCUCCGCAUCCCUCCUGUCCUGGGGGCCCCAGGCCUGGGCACAGCACUGCAGGUGGGGCCUUCCAGGGGCAGAGCAGAGGGGCACAACCCCCUCCCUCUCCUCUCCCUGCUGCC
ensembl:lncRNA